CCCUCCCCUAACCCUCAAAACUCUUCACAGACCCUUCCCUCUCAUCUCUCUCACCCAUGGUCGUCUCUGCCGCCGGAAAUUUCCCCACGACGGCGAACAGUCCCCAAACUUCCCCAAAUUAACACCCUAUACUCCUCUGUUCAUCCUCAAUCCAAAUAUACCUUCAACUUUUCAAAAGAACCACCCAAAAUCCUCGAAUUUUAGAUCUAAAAGGGCCAGAAACCCUAGCUUCCUCCCCUUCUGAUUUUUCGAGUUUCAAAGACCCGUUUUGACUCGAAACUUAUGCUAAUCGAUUAUUUUUGGCAAGAACAGUCGAUUAGUGCAAUUUUCGUAUCAUUUCGGAGAUGUUCAAACACCAUGGUUGGCCAAACAUUUUGUCAGAAAAUUUUCCUUGCUUUGUUUAGUCUUCAAAGUUCGACCACCAGUUGGCUAAAUUUGACGAUUGAGAGGCUUCAGGCAGUAUUGAAAUGCAUCAGUUGAUAAUCUUGCCUUCCUAUGAGCAUUGAGGAGGAAUCUGUAAAUCAAAUAGAGGCAUUUUCAUAUUUUUCUUUAACUAUUAAGUUUGUAUGUGAUAGGGAUAGCCAAUGAGAUGUAUUAACUGAUAUUCUGUCUUUUGCUACCAUCAGUCUAUAAUUUUGCAAAUAUCAUUUUUGUUGUGGUUGAGUUUGCACUUUCCACAACCCUUUGUUAUAUGUUCAUUUUUUUUAAAGGCAGCAGUAUUUACUGAUUUCUAAGAAUGUAUGAAAUUGGACUUUGAACUCUAA